UGACUGUUGAAUUUCUCCUCAUCUUGGUGUCAGCUCAGAUGCUUAAAUUCCUCUAUUUGACACAGGUAAUGUCUGCAGUUCCCUUACCCAGAGUUGCCAGCAAGUUCAUGAGGAAAUGGAGCAUAAUGUGUCCUUCUGCUGUGGAGAAGGCACACAACUCCUCCAGAAGGGCAGCCCCUUGGGGAAGCUCUUGGCAACCCUUGGUGCACCUUGGUUUAUGGCUGCUGCACCCGAUCUCUGCACUGUCUUCAAAUGGUGUUGUACUCUUUCUGGAAGGACACCAGUCACACUGAAUCAGGCUUACACUAAUUCAGUAAGACCUCAUCUUUAUUGAGUCUCUCGGUAAAGACCAUAUUUCUGAAUGAAGUCAAAUAUUUGUGCAUCAGGGC
ensembl:lncRNA